rnacentral:hammerhead_ribozyme from 1 species
GUACUGAUGAAGAGUCCCAGACUAGGACGAAAUAAGUGUCCAGGAC